UACGGGGGGGGCAAGCGUUGUUCGGAAUUACUGGGCGUAAAGGCUCGUAGGCGGCCAACUAAGUCAGACGUGAAAUCCCUCGGCUUAACCGGGGAAUUGCAUCUGAUACUGGAUGGCUUGAGAUUGGGAGAGGGAUGCGGAAUUCCAGGUGUAGCGGUGAAAUGCGUAGAUAUCUGGAGGAACACCGGUGGCGAAGGCGGCAUCCUGGACCAACACUGACGCUGAGGAGCGAAAGCCAGGGGAGCAAACGGGG
rnacentral:rRNA from 1 species